UGAGGAAUAUUGGGCAAUGCCCGCAAGGGUGACCCAGCAACGCCGCGUGGAGGAUGAAUGUCGUAAGAUUGUAAACUCCGGUUAGAGGGGAAGAAUAGUACCGGUUGGACCGGUAUAUGACUGUACCCUCAGAGAAAGCCCCGGCUAACUACGUGCCAGCAGCCGCGGUCAUACGUAGGGGGCAAGCGUUGUCCGGAUUUACUGGGUGUAAAGGGCGCGCAGGCGGGAUAAAAAGUCAGUGGUGAAAUCCUACAGCUUAACUGUAGAACUGGCUUUGAUACUUUUAGUCUUGAGUUCGGGAGAGAGAGACGGAAUGCCAGGUGUAGUGGUGAAAUACGUAGAUAUCUGGAAGAACACCAGUUGCGAAGGCGGUCUCUUGGUCCGACACUGACGCUGAGGCGCGAAAG
rnacentral:rRNA from 1 species